rnacentral:lncRNA from 1 species
AGUUCAGGAAGGACGAAUCCGCGCAAGAGGAAGGCUACGAAGAGGCCGCGGCCAGCGCGGGGGGGGACGGCGACCACGCGCGCCCGGGGCCGCGGGGAAACCAGCCCCUGGCAGGAGCCCCGCAGCCUCCCGCCCGCCUUCACUCGCUCCGCCCAAGGCCUCCGUCGGGUUCCGCGCGCAGAGCACCGGGGCGGCCCACGCUUCGGAGCCUGUGACGCCGCCGUCGGGGACUCGGCCCCUCGGCGGCGGCGGGCGGGGGUCCCGGCUCCCGAGGCGGCUCCUCCCGGGACCCCAAGCCGCCCAGCGAGCCGCCGAGAGGACGGGCGGGACGCGCCCCCCGCAGUCCCACCUACCCCCCGACUAGGACUCGGCCACGUCCGCGGCCCCCGCCCCCCGCAGCCCCACCGCAGGACCGCCCCGCCGCGCGCUCACCCCGGCGCUCCGGGCGGCUACGGAAAGCGAGAGGAGUCAGGCCGCCUCCGGGCCCCGGUCCGCGCGCCCCGCAGCCCCGCCCCGCAGCCCCGCCCCGCCUGUGUGCCCGCCGCGCUCGGGGCCCUGCCGGGGGGGAGGGGCAGGCGGCGGGGCGGGGCGGGGCGGGGCGGGGCGGGGCGGGGCGGGGCGCGCGCCCUGCGAACUCCUGAGCGCGUCCUCCUGCCUCCGCCCGGGCGCCGUGGGGGUGCACGGAAGCGGCUUGGAAAGAAGGGAUCCGCCUGCGCCCCGCGAGUCCCCGUGCGUGCAGCUGCCGCGGACUCUGCCUCGGAUCACGGUCCGAAGGGCGCUGCGCAGGAGGACCCGACCCGCAGACGCCCCGUCGCCCUGGGAUGGGGGCCCCCGGGGUGUCGCCGAGUGCCGGGGGCGGGUUCGCCGCCCUUCCGGGGCCGGGGGCCCGAGGCCGAAAGCGCCCACUGGCCGCGCGAAACUGGACUCGCAGCCGCAGUGAGGGACUCACCAGGUCCCGGCGAGGGCAGGGGGCGAGUGACCCCCCUCGGGGAAGGCCGGCGGCUCGCGGCUCGGGGAGGGGCGGGGCCAAGGCGGGGGAGGGGCGGGGCCGCAGCGGGGUAG